rnacentral:rRNA from 1 species
CCUACGGGAGACAGCAGUGGGGGAUAUUGCACAAUGGGGGAAACCCUGAUGCAGCGACGCCGCGUGGGCGAAGAAGUAUUUCGGUAUGUAAAGCCCUAUCAGCAGGGAAGAAGAAAUGACGGUACCUGAGUAAGAAGCACCGGCUAAAUACGUGCCAGCAGCCGCGGUAAUACGUAUGGUGCAAGCGUUAUCCGGAUUUACUGGGUGGAAAGGGAGCGCAGGCGGCCCGGCAAGCCUGAUGUGAAAGCCCGCGGCCCAACCGCGGGACUGCAUUGGGAACUACCGGGCUGGAGUGCCGGAGAGGUAGGCGGAAUUCCUAGUGUAGCGGUGAAAUGCGUAGAUAUUAGGAGGAACACCAGUGGCGAAGGCGGCCUACUGGACGGUGACUGACGCUGAGGCUCGAAAGCGUGGGGAGCAAACAGGAUUAGAUACCCCUGUAGUC